UACGUAGGCAGCGAGCGUUGUUCGGAGUUACUGGGCGUAAAGGGUGUGUAGGCGGUUGGUUAAGUUUGGUGUGAAAUCUCCCGGCUCAACUGGGAGGGUGCGCCGAAUACUGAAUGACUCGAGUGCGGGAGAGGAGAGUGGAAUUCCUGGUGUAGCGGUGAAAUGCGUAGAUAUCAGGAGGAACACCAGUGGCGAAGGCGAUCAUCUGGGGUUGUUCUGACACUGAGGAGCGAAAGCUAGGGGAGCAAACGGG
rnacentral:rRNA from 1 species